UAGUCUUUGCUGACCCUUGUGAAGAGUGGUGUGUCCCUCAAAGGAUUGAGACCUAAAGUUGAGAACCAUCAUCCUAUGUAAACUUUUAUUUCCUGAAGGUUUCCUUUCUUACGGAAUAUUUUAAGUGGAUUCUGACCAUUUUGCUGAAUGUGAUGGCAACUCAAGUACUAAAGCCAUGCUUCCUCACUGCAUCCCGAGAAGCUGACACUGAAGGAGACCAUUCCCUGAGCUUAUGGAGAUCAGCUCAGUGUUUAGCUGUGGGUGUCUGCUUUUGUUUCCAUAAGCUACUGGAAGAAGGCUCUAGAAGGGCAUAUAAGCCACUGAGGACGAUCUUCUCCGCCUUCUCCUGAGAAUAUUGCACUGAAGACACGGACACUACACCUACCUGGUGGUAUUGUACUUUGUAUGCUUGACACCUGUAUGACUGAUUUCUACCUGGGAAUGCUACAUCAGUAACAGAAGUAUCAGCAAGCCGCUGCAGAGGAAUCCUGGCUCCUUCAGUGUUUACAGAGAAAUGUCACUCAUGAAGAGAUUCAGCUCUGAGAGAUACUUCUGGUGUAAGGUAUUCUUCUUACCUGUAUGACUGAUUACUACCUGGAAAUGUCAUGUCAGUGACAGAAGUGUCAGCAAGUAUCUACAGAUGAAUUCUGGCUCCUUCAGUGUUUAUAGAGAAAUGACUCUCAUAAUGAGAUUCAGCUCUGAGAAUUACUUCUGAUAUAAGGCAUUAGGUUUCAUUGGAUGCAUGGAUUCAUCUCUGCGGCUGCGCCAUCUGAGGGAUAAAUUUCAGUGGACAGCUGAAAGGCAAAAUGGAGCUACUACUGGUAAUGAGAUUGCAGAGUUUCUCACAAGCCUGCUCAUGAUAUUCUCAGACUCAAACACAUAGGAACUGCACCUCCCCAGCUUCUGAAGAGGUAUCCCUGAAGAUACAGUCAACACAUCUUCCUGGUGAGUCUGACAGUGCUGCUUAGUGAAGUUGCAUUCAAGUACUAUAGCCAAGCUUCCUCUCUGCAUCCUGAGAAGCUGACAAUGGAGGAGACCACUUCCCUGAGCUUAUGAUUCUGACCAUUCUGCUUAGUGUGAGGACAACUCAAGCAGUAAAGCCGUGCUUCCUCUCUGCAUGCCGAGAAGCUGACACUGAAGGAGACUACUUCUCUAAGUUAUGGUAUUCUUCAUAUCUGUAUGACUGAUUUCUACCUGGGAAUGCUGUAACAGUGACCAAAGUAAUUGCAAGCAUCUACAUAGGAAUCCUGGCUCCUUCAGUGUUUGAAGAGAAAUGACUCUCAUGAUGAGAUUCAGCUCUGAGAGAUACUUCUGAUAUAAGGUAAGAACCAUAGCAAAAAUAGUGUGAGGCUGACAUUUUAGCAAUGACUCCCGAUACAACAGGUGUAUUGGAUAAAAGAAAAGAAAUGCAAAUAUCAGUUAGUAUUCUUUAUACUGAUUUAGGCCAAGAGCUAAUAGGGCACAUUUUAUUCCAAUAUUAUAGAGCAUCCUUAGCAAUGCAAAGCUGGAACCUGAUGGUGUUACGUAUCAAGGAGUUAGGUGUCUAUGGUAAUGAUCAUCAAAUAUUAUUCAAUACUGAAAUUUCUAGAGUUGCAGAAAAACUUUCAUCUGACCUAUUAUUUAUUAUUUUUUGCAGUGACAUAUAUGUAAUUAUGUAUAAUUAAUGGAAACUGCUGAAUCCUUCAGCAUUUGUAUAUUCCUCAGCUAGAGCAUACAUGCAUGUGUUUAGGGCGGUAUUCUUUGUCUCAUCUGUCCCAUUAAAGGGUUCACCCUUGAGAAGUCUGCUUCAUUGAAAUUGUAGCCUCUAUCAUUACAGGUAGCUCUUCAGCUAGCAGUUAGAUCCUUGAGUUUCUCCUAUCUACUUUUGCAUUUCAAGUUGAAGUGUCCUUUUACUUUUUAUUAAUCUCUAUGUGUUCUCAUCUUGAGAUAGAAAUGGUGUGCCUUUACAGGCACAGAUAGAGGACCCUUUCUCACAGUAGACAUACUAUUCCUCUGUAUCUUAUGGUAGUUCUGCUACCUAUUCCACAAUAUUAUGUGGAUUUUGGUUCUUUUUUAUUCAUCAGGUUUAUGUGGCAUGGCAGAGUCAGUUGCACUUUGACCAGUGGAUUAUUUUUAUUGUAUCUUUCUAUUAGAAAAUGAAACUCUUUGGCUGAGGGUGAAUGUUACACUAUCUGUGUGUAAAAGGAUAGGUAUUUUAAAAGUAUAUAGAAAUUUUACUACCUUAAAUACUUAAGUAUGUAGGUUCUUUUCGAAUAUCCAUUAUUUCAGUGUUUAUGGAUAUUUGGCCAGGUUUACACUGUUUGGCAUAAUUUGUCCCUUGGUGAUGAUAUAAGUCUUCUCCAUUGACCAGAAAUAUCACAAGCAAUUCACUUGUGUAUUUGUAGUGCCAGGCCUCUGAUAAUCCAGUAAAAGCUAUGAUUUAGGAAAUGAUGAUGCUUUAGGAAGUUUAGGAAAAUCAUGAAUUUCACAUAACUUCUGCAGUAAUGUUAUGCCAGUGGUCACAUUAGGAUUCCAUGGUGGUAAGGAGUAGCCCAAAUAUAACAUGAAUAACAUUCUAGAUUCUCUCUACCAUGUAAAUAGUGUAAGAAAUUCCAAAAUCAAAAUUAUGUGAAAGUAUAGUACAUGUGAGUAUUUAGAGAGAAGCUUGGCUCACAUGUGGUGUGGAAUGUAGUAGAGACUGUUAUGUGCUACUCAUGUUCCUUAUGUCUUAGUGGCUCACUCUAAGCAACAUAGACACUUUCCUACAUUUUAAUGUUUCAGAAAAACAAAUUGAAACUUCAGACAUCACUCAGAGAUAUGGUAAAACAAUUCUGGAGAUUAACACAAAAUGGCCACCCCUAUGGUCUUUUAAUUAAAUACAAUUGUCUGCAUUAUGGCCCUGUAAUUAUCCUCAAUGAUAAAUCUUAUUGACGUUGAAAUAUAUUCAACGGGUUACUUUUUCUUUUAAGAUCAAUUAUGUCUGUGUGGGAAUUUGCUUCAGGCAGAAACACUCUUUUAAUUAUGUCUACCAGAUUUUUUCCAGAAUGUAGAAGUAAACAUCCAGGGAUAGUGGUGAAUUUGCAAUUCAUUACAUGAUGGUCUUUGCCAGAUGUAUGAAUAUAGUUUGCCAUCAAAGAAAUAUUAUUUGGUGAAUGUUAGUGAGAAUUAUUCUCACAUUGGCCACUGGUAGUAGGUAUUUGCUGAACAUGACAGUAGAAUUGCACAUAUGAAUUCCUAGUACUCAUAACUGAAUGCACAAGACUUGCUUGUCCCAGGUCAAGGUAGCAAAAUCUCAGCAAAAGUAGUGGAGGACCUCAUGAUAUCUCACUCAUAUUUUAGUAGCUACUGGUAUUUAUUUGUUUAUGGAGACAGGACAGUUAGUUUUCCGCAGGGGCUUUUGCUCUCAGAAGUUAUUCAUGAUCCCCUGGUUUUCUGCACAUCUGUGUAUAAACAGGCAACCCUAAAUGGGUAUUUAAAGCUUUUCAAUACGGAGCUCCACAGCUCCUGUUUUAGUUCACCCUAACCCUAAUCUUCCAAUAAUCAUGAUCUCCCUACCACUAAGUAGUUAACUAGGUUUCCAAUACUAAGCAUUAUAUUCCUCAUGUUGUGCAUGUGAUGGGUAUAUUUGAGAGCUGUUGGCUAUAUCCAGGUAUGUGUGUCAAUAUUGCACCCUUAGGGCUAAUUUGCUCUGCUGCUCAUUAAUGUUGUUUAUAAAUAUCACAUCUGCUUAAGAGUGCUGAUUGCAUUCCUCUGUUGGAUGCAUGCACAGUCCUGAUACAAAUAUACAAAACACCCAUACCAAAAUUCUUAGUCAAUGUUGAGUCAAAUGUGGGAGAAAAUGUAUAAGAGCUAGAUUUGUCAAGGAUUUUGGAAUGGUAUUGUGUCUUUUAGUAACAUAAGAUGUCCUGCCAAUAGAGUCUCAGCAACAUGACUGGCCAAAAAUAAUCUGAAUAAAUGUGACACAAAUUAACUUACCAAAAUGGACAAAUAGUAGUCCAGAAGUACUCAACAUGACACUAAGUUCUAUAUGUAACUGAGGAAAUCUAGAAAAGGCAGAUGUCACCCAACUCCCACCUGCCCACUCUGGGAAAUCCCACCUCGGGGUCUACAGGCAGACUGAAUUGGUCCCUGAAGACCCAGGGACCUGACUCUGCUGAGAUCGAUGGACUAUUCUGUCCCCAGGCAGUGGAGAGUGCAGAGAAUGCUGAGGUGAGCUGCUUUGGCCCCUGACUUGGGCCCAACUUCUGCCUGCCCACUCUGGAACUCCUGCUCAAGGGUCUUCAGAUGGGACAAUUCGACCCCUGAGGACCAAGCAACCCAGAAUCUGCUGACAUCUCUGCCCCCGGUGUGCUCUGGCCCACCUGGAGAGCAAGUGCUUCCAACCACCUGCACUCACCUUGAGACCAUCAGAGUAUUGGAGCUAAUUGCACCCACCUGAAGAGAACACCAUACCCAUACACACUAGGAAAGGAAUUGACACAACCUGUACCCACUGGAAGAAGAGAUGGGAAGGUGAAAAUAUAAGAACACAUCCAACAACAGGAAAACCAAUAUGACACCACAAGCAUCUAGGGACUCUACAC